AUUUACUCCAGUUUUCACAUUAUAUCUUCUUUUCUCCUGCUUUACUCCAGUCUUCUCCGGAUUACUGCAGGAGGAGACAGUUUUUAGAAGAACUGAACACUGACCUGUUCCUGGUCUCCUGCUCCUAGUGUGACUUUUCAAACUGUUGGAAAUUUAGCCAUGGACAUACACUCAACCAGAACAUUUCACAAAGAGGUUAAACUAGAAGAAGGAACAAACAUGCCUACCCCUCCCAAACAAAUGCAGAAAAGUACAGGCAAGAAAAAAACUCACCACUGCUCAGACUGUGGGAAGAGUUUUAGUUAUCAGAGUACUCUCCAACGACACCGGCGCAUUCACACUGGAAAGAAACUGUAUCACUGCUCAGACUGUGGGAUGAGUUUUAAUCAACAAAAUGCUCUCCAACAACACCAGCGCAUUCACACUGGAGAGAAACCGUAUCACUGCUCAGACUGUGGGAAGAGUUUUAGUCAACAGAGUACUCUUCAACGACACCAGCGCAUUCACACUGGAGAGAAACCGUAUCACUGCUCACACUGUGGAAAGAAUUUUAACUGUAAGAGUACUCUCCAACGACACCGGCGCAUUCACACUGGAAAGAAACUGUAUCACUGCUCAGACUGUGGGACGAGUUUCAAUCAACAAAAUGCUCUCCAACAACACCAGCGCAUUCACACUGGAGAGAAACCGUAUCACUGCUCAGACUAUGGGAAGAGUUUUAAUCAACUGAGUCAUCUCCAACAACACCAGCGCAUUCACACUGGAGAGAAACCGUAUCACUGCUCAGACUGUGGAAGGAGUUUUAACUGUCAGAGUAAUUUCCAAAAUCACCCGCACAUUCACACUGGAGAGAAACCGUAUCACUGCUCCGACUGUGGAAGGAGUUUUAACUGUCAGAGUAAUUUCCAAAAACACCAGCGCAUUCACACUGGAGAGAAACCGUAUCACUGCUCAGACUGUGGGAAGAGUUUUAGUCAUCAGAUUACUCUCCAAAAACACCAGCACAUUCACACUGGAGAGAAACCGUAUCACUGCUCAGACUGUGGGAAGAGUUUUAAUCAACUGAGUCAUCUCCAACAACACCAGCGCAUUCACACUGGAGAGAAACCGUAUCACUGCUCAGACUGUGGGAAGAGUUUUAAUCAACAGAGUCAUCUCCAACAACACCAGCGCAUUCACACUGGAGAGAAACCGUAUCACUGCUCAGACUGUGGGAAGAGUUUUAGCCGUCAGAGUACUCUCCAAAAACACCAGCACAUUCACACUGGAGAGAAACCGUAUCACUGCUCCGACUGUGGAAGUAGUUUUAACUGUCAGAGUAAUUUCCAAAAACACCAGCGCAUUCACACUGGAGAGAAACCGUAUCACUGCUCAGACUGUGGGAAGAGUUUUAGUCAUCAGAUUACUCUCCAAAAACACCAGCGCAUUCACACUGGAGAGAAACCGUAUCACUGCUCAGACUGUGGGAAGCGUUUUAGUCAUCAGAGUACUCUCCAACAACACCAGCGCAUUCACACUGGAGAGAAACCGUAUCACUGCUCAGACUGUGGGAAGAGUUUUAAUCAACUGAGUCAUCUCCAACAACACCAGCGCAUUCACACUGGAGAGAAACCGUAUCACUGCUCAGUCUGUGGGAACAGUUUUAGUCGUCAGAGUAUCCUUCAACGACACCAGCGCAUUCACACUGGAGAGAAACCGUAUCACUGCUCAGACUGUGGGAGGAGUUUUAACUGUCAGAGUACUCUCCAACAACACCAGCGCAUUCACACUGGAGAGAAACCGUAUUAUUGCUCUGAAUGUGAGAAGUGCUUCCGGUAUUCAAGUAGUUUGAAGAGACACAAAUGCAUUAAGAUUAGUUAUAGAACUGGUCCUUAAAACAUCAAUUUAACUUUUCAGGAGUAACAGUUAACUCCAAAAAGAGGUAGCAAACUGGAUGUAGAGUAGAAAAUCCAGCAAAGGUUUGUGUUUCUAUCUAGCAGUUUCUUUUAUAUGCAUUAACCAAUACUCACCUUACAUUUGAUCAUUUUUACUCACAGUGUAUUUUACACGCAUUUAUAUAGAAGAUUAACCAAUAAUCACAAUAUAUAUUCUUUACAUAUAUAGUAAAACAUUGUUUGAUCAGGCAUGUGACUAACACAGACUCUAUUGUGACAAAUUAACCCACAUGAUACAUAAGGCGUUUACUAACACAUAGGGUCUAUUGUAUGGCGGUCUAACCACGCGCCACUAACACAUUAACAUAUAACAUAUGAGCAGGGGCGUAGCAGCAAAUUCUGGGCCCUGUACACCCUCUAUGUUAAUGGGCCCCUAUCCAUGCCAGUAAACAAAGGAAAGUGAGCGAAAAAAAAAUCAGGAUUUUCAUGGGCCCCUCUCCCUACUCGGGCCCUGGGUAGUCAGGUCCACUUUUCCCCCCACUACCACGCCCAUGCAUAUGAGAUCUAUUGUGAGACUUGUGUAGCUCAUGCUUGAAGCAUUUCGUUCACUGCAUGUCUCUGACUAACGGCCAUCAAUCAUCAGCUAGUGCACUCUGGAUGAACUAAAUUGAUACAAAGGAGACUUCGGGACGAACUGUGCGGCCUUUCUCUCUGUGCGUGCAAAGUUCUUCACCUACCAAAGCGGGAGGAGGACACGCGCACAUAGGGAGGGCGGCACUGUCUAAUUACUGAAACAAUAUCACACUGUCUGACUGGACCCAGGCAAUUCUUAAAACAAUACCACACUGUCCGGCUGGACACAAUCAAGGCCAAACACUAGUGGUCCGGUCAGACCUGUGAAACUUGAACACUAACACGUGAGAUUAUGCAUACUAACAUGAGAUGAUUUUAGCAACGCCUCAUCAGCAGGUUUCACGUCAUUUUGGGGUAUAAAACAUGGAGUCAGAUCAGAGGGGGGUCAGAACUUAUACUGGGACGGCUGUUUACCUAUUUUCCUGUGUGUAUGGUUCUCCUGAGCUCAGUAAUAAAUACUUGGUUUGCUUUCAACUUCACUCCACCUGUCUACGACUCUCUCUAUCAAACGAACACGCAGGGGAGUUGUACCCCGGACGAGAGGUGGGUGUUAACCCACCUUUCAUUUCCUUUUUACAACAGUCUAAAGCAGCAUCUCUGAUGGUAUGGGAAACCUGCACAACUGUGAAGCACCAUUAAAGCAGUAAUGCUAUAUAAAACAUUUAAAUGUGAUCCCAAUUCAUUAGUAAAUUACGGUUACUUUUGGAAGAUGGUUUACUUUAUGGUGAUAUCUCUGGAAAAUAGUUACGUUUUUUACUUAGUGAAAAUCCCCUUAAGGCUUUUUUAUAUGUAUUUUACCAAAAAUCCAUAUAGGUAUAAGUAGUCUUACAGAACAAAUUUUUAGUUUUGUUUAUCACCAUAAAAAUAAAUUUGUAUGUAGAUCAAAAUCUUACAUAAAAGACAUUACCCAAUUUUUAUUGUGCUUAAAAGAUGUACAUCAGCACGGUUAGAACACCUCUCAACCAAUCAGAUUGUGAGGUCAGAACUAACUGUUGUAUAAAUGUCUAUAAACCCAAAUACAAAUAAUAAGCAUAACCUAAUAAGCUAGCUAACACAAUGUGACGUGAUGGGUUUACCCAAACAUUACAGUAUUUUAUUAUAACCAAAAUAGCUUUUCUCAGUCGAUAAACAGAAACACUAAGAUAUGUACAGCAAAUUUCCAUGACUUUUCCAAAAUAUUCUCGGUAUUUUUAUUUUUCUAAAACUUAUCCAGGCCUGGAAUUGAUAUUUUCAAAUUCUAUGACUUUUCCAGGUUUUCGAACCCUGUGUUUAUGAUGAAUAAACAUGUUGAUGGACCUGUGAGUGUAUUAACAGCCAGGAGGCCAUAGAGCAUGUUUUUAUUCAGUGUUCUAAAUACAACCUAGAACAACAAAGACUAGUUGCUCCACUAGAGGAAAAACAGACCCAGUUCAGUCUAAAGCGCAUUAUUCAGUUAAAUACAGGUGAUAUCUGCUUCAAAUACUUUAGUAGGUUCCUGAAAAAUACAGGACUAAUUAACAGGAUUUAGGUUUGACCAUAAGGAGAAAUUUAUAGUAAAUUCAAUAAUAAUUUUAGGAAAUGUUAUAUACACAAAUCUAAAUUUGCUAAACAGAUACCCUUAUUCAAAACUUUUUUUAUUCAGACUUAAAUAAUUAUAUACACAUACUGACAAAUUUUCGAUUAAUUAAAAAUAAUCAGUGUCAUAAAUCUAUCAAUGUUUUGAAGCUUUUCAAAUUUAUUUGAAUCACACUUUUUUCUGUUUGUUUAGGUUUGUUUUUUGUUUGUGUUUUGAUGUGAUUGUGAUGAUAGUUGUACAUGCUGUGUAUUUGACUUAUUGCGUUUAUUGCAUGCUGUUGAACUGUUUUGUAUACAAAAUUAAUAAAAAUAAAUAAUCAAAAAAGCAGAUGGACCGUGGUGUCUUCUUUAUCCUAAAAAAGGAUUUAUGUUUUUUUCUUCUUGUAUUUAGUUUUAUUUAAUACCACUCCAGUCCAGAUGGUGGCGGUAAUGUAACUGUAAAAACAACAGGAAGAAGCAGAGGAAGAGUAAUACAGUCUAGGAGAGCAGGCUUUGUGUUUGGUUUUCAGGAAUAAUCUGCUUUUCUCUUAACUGGAUCCAGUGUUUUAUUUCUUGGUAAAUAGUGAGGUAAUUAUAAGUUAGAGUUAUAGAGUUAUAGUGUAAAGUGGAUCUUAAAUAGUUUAGUCCCAACACUUCCCUGGUUGAGUAGAGUUACAACGUUUACAGACGAGAAACAGAUUUACUCCAGUUUUACAUUAUAUCUUCUUUUCUCCUGCUUUACUCCAGUCUUCUCCGGAUUACUGCAGGAGGAGACAGUUUUUAGAAGAACUGAAUAUCAUCCUGUUCCAGGUCUCCUGUUCCUAGUGUCGACUUCCCAAACUGUUUCAAAUUUAGCUAUGGAAAAACACUCAACCAGAACAUUUCACACAGAGGUUAAACUAGAAGAAGGAACAAACACGGCAUCCACAAAAAUCUCCAAUGCUCUGCAAACAUCCUCGCCUACCCCUCCCAAACAAAUGCAGAAAAGUACGGGCAAGAAACUCUGCUCAGACUGUGGGAAGAGUUUUAGUUAUCAGAAUCAUCUCCAACGACACCAGCGCAUUCACACUGGAGAGAAACCGUAUCACUGUUCAGACUGUGGAAAGAGUUUUAAUCAACAGAUUGCUCUCCAACUACACCAGCGCAUUCACACUGGAGAGAAACCGUAUCACUGCUCAGACUGUGGGAAGAGUUUUAACUCUCAGAGUAAUUUCCGACAACACCAGCGCAUUCACACUGGAGAGAAACCGUAUCACUGCUCAGACUGUGGAAAGAGUUUCAACUCUCAGAGUAAUUUCCGACAACACCAGCGCAUUCACACUGGAGAGAAACCUUAUUAUUGCUCUGAAUGUGAGAAGUGGUUCCGGUUUUCAAGUAGUUUGAAGGAACACAAAUGCUUGAAGAUUAGUUAUAGAACUGGCCUUUAAAACAUCAAUUCAAUUUUCAGGAGUAACAGAAAACUCCAAAAAUGAGGUAACAAACUGGAUGUAGAGUAGAAAAUCCAGUAAAGGUUUGUGUUUCUAUCUAGCAGUUUCUUACUACUAUACUAUACUACUGUAAUGAACACCUUGUCCACAUGUAGUUUCGCCAAGUUUGAAAGUUGUACACUCUGCACCAGUCUGUCAUUACAGUUCCAUUUGUAAAAGGAUUAUAUGGAUUAGGAAAUUUCACAUUCUAGAAUAAGCGAAAGAACCAUUGUUGCAUGUAGUAUGUUCAUAAUGAUAAUAUUUAUUCAUUGCUUGAACCUGAACAUUUUAGAAGGGUUUCAAUGUGAAGAUAUUAAAAAUGGAACUGAAUGAUCAGGGACAGGCAGUAAUGAUAAAAUAUAAUGCUACAUAACUAAAUGCUGUUACUCCUACUGUGGGGAAACUCGGACUAGCAUCACUUUAUGACUUUUGUUUACUUAGGUUACAUAACUAGUAAAGCAGCCUUGUGUGCGGUGACGAGAGGUGAUGGCUGCUAACUUAUGAAAUUUGAAUUUGAAAGUAUAACUCGAAAUCACUGAUGUGUACUGGUAUAAUUCUUUCUAUACGUGCAGAGCGUGUAAAUUUACUGGGAUUUUCCAUAUCUGUAGUGAAGGCUUAAAUGUUUUAUGGUAUUUAAAUUUUAGAUUUGUCCCUGACAAUAAAUCCACACUAAGCCAUUAUUGUCCUUCAAUGGUGGAGGUUAGAUAUUUAAUGUUCAUACGGAUAAACUAAAGAGGUUUUUGCAGAUAUUCACUCAUUCGUAAUUUGAUUCCAAAGAAGUUAGGACAGGGGCAACAGAAGACUGGGAAAGUUGAGGAAUACUAAAAACACCUGUUUCAUUUCACAGGUGAGCAGGUUAACUGGAAACAGGUGUGGGUCAUGAUUGGGUAUAAAGGGAGCAUCCCUAAACAGCUCAGUUUUUCACAAGCAAGGAUAGUGCGAGGUUCACCACUUUGUAAACUUCUACGUGAGCAACUAGUCCAAAAGUUUAAAAAUAAUGUAUCUCAACAUGCGACUGCAAGGAAUUUAGGGAUUUCAUCAUCUACAGUCUACAAUAUCAUCAAAAGAUUCAGUGAAUCUGGAGAAAUCUUUGCGCCAAAGAAAUAACACUGAAUGUCUGUGACCUUCGACCUCUCAGGCGGCACUGUAUUAAAAACCUACAUAAUUCUGUAACAGAUAUUAACACAUGGGCUCAGGAACACUUUAGAAAUCCAUCGUCAGUGAACACAGUUCGUCGCUCCAUCUGCAAGUUCAAGUUAAACUCUGCCAUGCAAAGCCAGAUAUCAACACCACCCAGAAACUCUACCGUCUUCUCCAGACUGAGAUCAUCAGAGAUGGACUGAUGCAAAGUGGAAAAGUGUCCUGUGGUCUGACGAGUCCAAGAUUCACAUUGUUUUUGGAGAUUAUGGAUGUUGUGUUCUCUGGGCCAGAGAGGAAAAGAACUGUCCGAGUGUUCUUAGAGCAAAGGUCUAAAGCAGCAUCUCUGAUGGUAUGGGAAACCUGCACAACUGUGAAGCACCAUUAAAGCAUUAAUGCUAUAUAAAACAUUUAAAUGUGAUCCCAAUUCAUUAGUAAAUUACGGUUACUUUUGGAAGAUGGUUUACUUUAUGGUGAUAUCUCUGGAAAAUAGUUACGUUUUUUACUUAGUGAAAAUCCCCUUAAGGCUUUUUUAUAUGUAUUUUACCAAAAAUCCAUAUAGGUAUAAGUAGUCUUACAGAACAAUUUUUUAGUUUUGUUUAUCACCAUAAAAAUAAAUUUGUAUGUAGAUCAAAAUCUUACAUAAAAGACAUUACCCAAUUUUUAUUGUGCUUAAAAGAUGUACAUCAGCACGGUUAGAACACCUCUCAACCAAUCAGAUUGUGAGGUCAGAACUAACUGUUGUAUAAAUGUCUAUAAACCCAAAUACAAAUAAUAAGCAUAACCUAAUAAGCUAGCUAACGCGAAGUGACGUGAUGGAUUUACCCAAACAUUACAGUAUUUUAUUAUAAGCAAAAUAGCUUUUCUCAGUCGAUAAACAGAAACACUAAGAUUUGUACAGCACAUUUCCACGACUUUUCCAAAAUAUUCUCGGUAUUUUUAUUUUUCUAAAACUUAUCCAGGCCUGGAAAUUGAUAUUUUCAAAUUCUAUGACUUUUCCAGGUUUUCGAACCCUGUGUUUAUGAUGAAUAAACAUGUUGAUGGACCUGUGAGUGUAUUAACAGCCAGGAGGCCAUAGAGCAUGUUUUUAUUCAGUGUUCUAAAUACAACCUAGAACAACAAAGACUAGUUGCUCCACUAGAGGAAAAACAGACCCAGUUCUGUCUAAAGCGCAUUAUUCAGUUAAAUACAGGUGAUAUCUGCUUCAAAUACUUUAGUAGGUUCCUGAAAAAUACAGGACUAAUUAACAGGAUUUAGGUUUGACCCUAAGGAGAAAUUUAUAGUAAAUUCAAUAAUAAUUUUAGGAAAAUGUUAUAUACACAAAUCUAAAUUUGCUAAACAGAUACCCUUAUUCAAAACUUUUUAUUCAGACUUAAAUAAUUAUAUACACAUACUGACGAAUUUUCGAUUAAUUAAAAAUAAUCAGUGUCAUAAAUCUAUCAAUGUUUGGAAGCUUUUCAAAUUUAUUUGAAUCACACUUUUUUUUCUGUUUGUUUAGGUUUGUUUUUUGUUUGUGUUUUGAUGUGAUUGUGAUGAUAGUUGUACAUGCUGUGUAUUUGACUUAUUGCGUUUAUUGCAUGCUGUUGAACUGUUUUGUAUACAAAAUUAAUAAAAAUAAAUAAUCAAAAAAGCAGAUGGACGUGGUGUCUUCUUUAUCCUAAAAAAGGAUUUAUGUUUUUUUCUUCUUGUAUUUAGUUUUAUUUAAUACCACUCCAGUCCAGAUGAUGGCGGUAAUGUAACUGUAAAAAUAACAGGAAGAAGAAGAGGAAGAGUAAUACAGUCUAGGAGAGCAGGCUUUGUGUUUGGUUUUCAGGAAUAAUCAGCUUUUCUCUUAACUGGAUCCAGUGUUUUAUUUCUUGGUAAAUAGUGAGUCUUCUCCGGAUUACUGCAGGAGGAGACAGUUUUUAGAAGAACUGAAUAUCAUCCUGUUCCAGGUCUCCUGCUCCUAGUGUCGACUUCCCAAACUGUUUCAAAUUUAGCUAUGGAAAAACACUCAACCAGAACAUUUCACACAGAGGUUAAACUAGAAGAAGGAACAAACACGGCAUCCACAAAAAUCUCCAAUGCUCUGCAAACAUCCUCGCCUACCCCUCCCAAACAAAUGCAGAAAAGUACGGGCAAGAAACUCUGCUCAGACUGUGGGAAGAGUUUUAGUCAACAGAGUCAUCUCCAACGACACCAGCGCAUUCACACUGGAGAGAAACCGUAUCACUGCUCAGACUGUGGGAAGGGUUUUAGUCAACAGAGUAAUUUCCAAAAUCACCAGCGCAUUCACACUGGAGAGAAACCGUAUCACUGCUCAGACUGUGGGAAGAGUUUUAGUCAACAGAUUGCUCUUCAAAUACACCAGCGCAUUCACACUGGAGAGAAACCGUAUCACUGCUCAGACUGUGGAAAGAGUUUUAACUGUCAGAGUACUCUUCAACGACACCAGCGCAUUCACACUGGAGAGAAACCGUAUCACUGCUCAGACUGUGGAAAAAGUUUCAACUGUCAGAGUAAUUUCCGACAACACCAGCGCAUUCACACUGGAGAGAAACCUUAUUAUUGCUCUGAAUGUGAGAAGUGCUUCCGGUAUUCAAGUAGUUUGAAGGAACACAAAUGCUUGAAGAUUAGUUAUAGAACUGGUCUUUAAAACAUCAAUUCAAUUUUCAGGAGUAACAGAAAACUCCAAAAAUGAGAUAACAAACUGGAUGUAGAGUAGAAAAUCCAGUAAAGGUUUGUGUUUCUAUAAUGUGCUUGGGUAGCCAAAUGUACUGUAUUACUACUAUACUAUACUACUGUAAUGAACACCUUUUCCACAUGUAGUUUCUCCAAGUUUAAAAGUUGUACACUCUGCACCAGUCUGUCAUUACAGUUCCAUUUGUAAAAGGAUUAUAUGGAUUAGGAAAUUUCACAUUCUAGAAUUGAGCGAAAGAACCAUUGUUGCAUGUAGUAUAUUCAUAAUGAUGAAUAUUUAUUCAUUGCUUGAACCUGAACAUUUUAGAAGCUUUCAAGUUAUUAAAUAUGGAACUGAAUGAACAGGGAAAGGCAGUAAUGAUAAAAUAUAAUGCUACAUAACUAAAUGCUGUUAGUCCUACCGUGGGGAAACUUUGACUAGCAUCACUUUAUAGUUUUUGUUUACUUUGAUUUUAGUGUAACAUUAGUUAACAUAACUAGCUAAGGAGCCUCGUGUGCGGUGACGAGAGGUGAUGCCUGCUAACUUAUAAAAUUUAAACAAGUGUAACUCGAAAUCACUGAUGUGUACUGGUAUAAUUCUUGCUAUGUGUGCAGAGCGUGUAAAUUUACUGGGAAUUUUCCAUAUCUGUCGUGAAGGCUUAAAUGUUUUAUGGUAUUUUAAUGAUAGAUUUGUCCCUGACAAUAAAUCCACACUAAGCCAUUAUUGUCCUUCAAUGGUGGAGGUUAGAUAAUUAAUGUUCAUACGGACAAAGUAAAGGGUUUUUUGCAGAUUGUUUGUAAUUCGAUUCACUUUGUAAACUUCUGCGUGAGCAACUAGUCCAAAAGUUAAAGAAUCCUGUAUCUCAACAUAAACAAAAAGCCAGAUAUCAACACCACCCAGAAACUCUGGCGUCUUCUCCAGACUGAGAUAAUCAGAGAUGGACUGAUGCAAAGUGGAAAAGUGUCCUGUGGUCUGACGAGUCCACGUUUUACAUUGUUUUUGGAGAUUAUGGAUGUUGUGUUCUCUGGGCCAGAUAGGAAAAGGACUCUCCCAUUGUUCUCAGAGCAAAUUUCUAAAGCAGCAUCUCUGAUGGUAUGGGGGUGUGGUAGUGCCCAUGGCCAAGGGCGUAGGAGCGGGCUUGAUAUUGGGGGGGACACAUUUGCCAAUAUGAACCCAAGCCCACCCAAUAGUUUCCUAGAACAACAUUUGUGGAAAUUACUUUUAAUUAAAAGUAAAUUAUUAUUAUAAGGUGAUUUUACAACCUAAACAUGUUACUCCACAUUACAGCUACUGUUGUUAGAAAAAAUAUGCAAGCAAUGUCUGAGUUAUCACCUAAUAUUUAAAAUAAUAUAACAGAUUAUUAUUAUUAUUAUGUAUUGGCAUGUCAAUUCUGUUGUAUAUUUACAUUUUCUCCUGCACUUUUAUUUUUUUCUACUGAGAGCUCUUCUUAAGAUGGUGUCCUUUUAUGUAAAAGAAUGUAACUUUACGUUUCAUAGAGAUUUUUAUAAACGUCAGGAUAUGUGGUCUUACUGUGAAAUACUAAUGAACAGAAGUCACGUUACAGCAGUGUUUCUCAACCCAGUUCUUAUAUAUUCUACUGCAUAUUAAAACUGUUCUGCAUAUUCUAGAGCUUCCUCUGGUGGAUAUACAUGAUUAAUUUAGGCUCCAUAGGGGGCUAAAGGAUUUUAACAGGUAAACUCAGUAAAUGACUGUUUAUUAGCUGAUCAGGUGGAAAACACUAGUUUAGGGCAGUGAUCGGGGUUAAGUAACUGCUUUAAACUACCAACUUAAAGUACUGUACUAAAUUCUGGCGAUCAUCUACAUCCAGCUUCUAGAUAACUAGUUAGUUAAAUCAAUUUUCGUUCAUUAUAGCUCACAGUAAGUCCUGUAAUCCUAAAUGAAUAAACAGUUUGAAAAUUAAAGUGAUUAGCUGAUCAGGUACAGGGAAACAUUACAUAUAUAUUUUAUUUUUUUCCUUUAACCCUGACUCCCAAUCUAGCUAAUUCCAAAGAUAAGCUUACACACUAACACAGCUGCAGUUUAUUAAUCACAGUGGGUUUAAACUGUGUGCUGAUUCAGAGACGUGUCUUUUUAACCAGCUAUCAGAAACAUAUCAUCACCGUUUAAGUGGUUAGCCUAUCGUUACCUUUCUUUUAUAAAAAUCUCCGUAUAUCCAUAUCUGUUUUAAAAUCAGCUGAAGCUGCUGCGUCCCGAUCCCGCUGCUAAAUCUCACAGCGAGAGGGCGGGGCUUCCCCAACAGCAAACUGCCUCUGCUCCGCGCGCCGCAAAACCAUCAAGCUGAUUGGCUGUUUCUACUGAGAGGCGUGACUUAAUACCUGAACCGGCUCCGUGAUUGGUCCGGUCUGUCUCCUCAUUAAUAGUACAGCUGACCUGAGCGAACUGAUAUCAUUUUUGGGGGGGACAAAUCCACCUGUUUCUAAUAUUGGGUGGGACAUGUCCCACCCAUCCCCCCCCGGUUCCUACGCCUAUGCCCAUGGCAAGGGGAACCUGCACAUCUGUAAAGCACCAUUAAAUCAUUAAUGCUAUAUAAAACAUUUAAAUGGGAUCCCAAUUCAUUAGUAAAUUACGGUUACUUUUGGAAGAUGGUUUACUUUAUGGUGAUAUCUCUGGCGUUUUUUACUAAUUGAAAAUUCCCCUUAAGGCUUUUUUAUAUAUAUAUUUUACCAAAAAUCCAUAUAGGUAUAUGUAGUCUUACAGAAGAUUUUUUUAGUUUCGUUUAUUACCGUAAAAAGAAUUUUAUAUGUACAUUAAAAUUUUACAUAAAAGACAGUACCUAAUUUUUAUUGUGCUUAAAAGAUGUUUAACAUUUUGAAUGUUCACAAAUUGGAGAUGAUAUUAUUUUAUGUUUCUUUGGAUAAAGAAUAUCUUUACACCAAUAUUGAUCAUGAACCAGGCCUUGGUGUGUUAAAAUAUAAUCUUAACAGAACAGCAAUAUUAAAGCCUUCAACAACUUU